GUUAUUUAUGUAUUUACAACCUAAUUAUUAAGACGUAUGAAGUUUAGUGCGUUUUAACUUGAAAAAUGUUCAAAACAAAUAUUAUUUACAAAAUAUAUCGAUUAAUUAUUUGUUAUGUAAUUUUUGAGAAUAAGCAUCUGAUCAUUUUCAACUUAAAACGCACCAAACAUAAAUUCAUAAACAAAUCACAUAACAAAUAAUUAAUAGUUAUAUUUUCUAGAUAGAAUUUGUUUUGAUUGAUUAAAAACUAACCUGCCAUCUGACGUCGAUGUUAUUCAUAUGAACCAGAUACCACUGUCUGAUGAUCAUUGUCUUAGGCGCCUACUACGUCUACAGUUCUGUGGUCAGAUAGCUCCGUGGGUUGGCUUUUUAUUGGCUCACAUAUCUGGAUUGAUUGUAUCUUCGUGGAGAUAUAUUAGUUGCACUGUUCCAUGUCUGUUCACUAAUAUCAGACAGUUUCUUCGAUUCAUGUGGGCUGAAGUAUCAGCAUUCUGGAAAACCCACUCGAAUUUUAUUGUGUUUGCAGUUCUUUUGUUGUUGACAGCCACAUGCAUUGAAGCAUCAUUACUUUACUUUUUAAUCUAAGUUUCAUACCAGCCAAGUUUGGCCUAAACUGAAUUCGUCGAGUCCUUCUGCUUUGGGUGGCCACACGUUUAUUAUGGCUUUUCUUCCAUAAUUUUGUGUUGUGCUGCUCAGAUAUCCGAUAUCAUACUAUAUUCCCAAAACAACAUACAAAAGUUAUUGUUAAUAUCUGAAAUAACAAUUAGUGUGUUCAAAACAUCAUUUUUAACAAGAUUUCACUAAAUCUAUUCCAUGCUUAUGUUUUGCUUAGCUUUUGCAUUUUGCUUAUUUUUUUU
rnacentral:sRNA from 1 species